AGAGUUUGAUCCUGGCUCAGGACGAACGCUGGCGGCGUGCCUAACACAUGCAAGUCGAGCGGAGUCAGUAAGAGGAAAUUUUCGGAUGGAAUCUUAUUGAUUUAGCGGCGGACGGGUGAGUAACGCGUGAGCGACCAACCUUGCACAGGGGGAUAACGGACCGAAAGGUUCACUAAUACCGCAUGAGACCACGGUGUUGCAUGACACAGGGGUCAAAGGAGCAAUCCGGUGCAAGACGGGCUCGCGUCCGAUUAGGUAGUUGGAGGGGUAACGGCCCACCAAGCCUAUGAUCGGUAGCCGACCUGAGAGGGUGAUCGGCCACAUUGGAACUGAGAUACGGUCCAAACUCCUACGGGAGGCAGCAGUGGGGAAUAUUGGGCAAUGGGGGAAACCCUGACCCAGCAACGCCGCGUGAAGGAAGAAGGUUUUCGGAUUGUAAACUUCUGUCCUUGGUGAAGAGAAGAAGACGGUAGCCAAGGAGGAAGCCCCGGCUAACUACGUGCCAGCAGCCGCGGUAAUACGUAGGGGGCAAGCGUUGUCCGGAAUGAUUGGGCGUAAAGGGCGCGUAGGCGGCUUUAUAAGUCUGGAGUGAAAGUCCUCUUUUCAAGGGAGGAAUUGCUUUGGAAUCUAUAGAGCUUGAGUGCAGGAGAGGUUAUCGGAAUUCCCGGUGUAGCGGUGAAAUGCGUAGAUAUCGGGAGGAACAUCGGUGGCGAAGGCGGGUAACUGGACUGCAACUGACGCUGAGGCGCGAAAGUGUGGGGAGCAAACAGGAUUAGAUACCCUGGUAGUCCACACGGUAAACGAUGAAUGCUAGGUGUAGGAGGUAUCGACCCCUUCUGUGC
rnacentral:rRNA from 1 species